GACAGAGGGGGCAAGCGUUGCUCGGAAUUACUAGGCGUAAAGGGCGCGUAGGCGGGAUGGCAAGUCGGUCGUGAAAUCCUUCGGCUCAACCGAAGAACGUCGAUCGAUACUGCUGUUCUUGAGGGUUGCAGAGGAGACUGGAAUUCCCGGUGUAGCGGUGAAAUGUGUAGAGAUCGGGAGGAACACCGGUGGCGAAGGCGGGUCUCUGGGCAAUUCCUGACGCUGAGGCGCGAAAGCGUGGGGAGCAAACGGG
rnacentral:rRNA from 1 species